rnacentral:rRNA from 1 species
GACGAACGCUGGCGGCGUGCUUAACACAUGCAAGUCGAACGGAAAGGCCCUGCUUUUGUGGGGUGCUCGAGUGGCGAACGGGUGAGUAACACGUGAGUAACCUGCCCUUGACUUUGGGAUAACUUCAGGAAACUGGGGCUAAUACCGGAUAGGAGCUCCUGCUGCAUGGUGGGGGUUGGAAAGUUUCGGCGGUUGGGGAUGGACUCGCGGCUUAUCAGCUUGUUGGUGGGGUAGUGGCUUACCAAGGCUUUGACGGGUAGCCGGCCUGAGAGGGUGACCGGCCGCAUUGGGAUUGAGAUACGGCCCAGACUCCUACGGGAGGCAGCAGUGGGGAAUAUUGCACAAUGGGCGGAAGCCUGAUGCAGCAACGCCGCGUGCGGGAUGACGGCCUUCGGGUUGUAAACCGCUUUCGCCUGUGACGAAGCGUGAGUGACGGUAAUGGGUAAAGAAGCACCGGCUAACUACGUG